CUCAUAGCGUAUAUUUAAGUUGUUGCAGUUAAAAAGCUCGUAGUCGGAUUUUGGCUGAGAACGGUCGGUCCGCCGUUAGGUGUGCACUGACUGGUCUCAGCUUCCUGGUGAGGAGGUGUGCUUCAUCGCCACUUAGUCACCGUGGUUACUUUGAAAAAAUUAGAGUGUUCAAAGCGGGCUUACGCUUGAAUAUAUUAGCAUGGAAUAACACCAUAGGACUCCUGUCCUAUUUCGUUGGUCUCGGGACGGGAGUAAUGAUUAAGAGGAACAGUUGGGGGCAUUCGUAUUUCAUUGUCAGAGGUGAAAUUCUUGGAUUUAUGAAAGACGAACUUCUGCGAAAGCAUUUGCCAAGGAUGUUUUCAUUGAUCAAGAACGAAAGUUGGGGGCUCGAAGAUGAUUAGAUACCAUCCUAGUCUCAACCAUAAACGAUGCCGACUAGGGAUUGGCGGAUGUUAAUUGAUGACUUCGCCAGCACCUUAUGAGAAAUCAAAGUUUUUGGGUUCCGGGGGGAGUAUGGUCGCAAGGCUGAAACUUAAAGGAAUUGACGGAAGGGCACCACCAGGCGUGGAGCCUGCGGCUUAAUUUGACUCAACACGGGGAAACUUACCAGGUCCAGACAUAGUA
rnacentral:rRNA from 1 species